rnacentral:rRNA from 1 species
CUUGACACUGAACAUUGAGCCUUGAUGUGUAGGAUAGGUGGGAGGCUUUGAAGCGUGGACGCCAGUCUGCGUGGAGCCGACCUUGAAAUACCACCCUUUAAUGUUUGAUGUUCUAACGUUGGCCCCUGACCGGGGUUGCGGACAGUGUCUGGUGGGUAGUUUGACUGGGGCGGUCUCCUCCCAAAGCGUAACGGAGGAGCACGAAG